CAGAGCCUGCUGGUCCAGGGUGGGGUAGUGGGAAGUCCCUGGAGAGUCUUCAGCAUGAAAGUGACAAGAGCUGAAGCAUGAUUUAAAAAAAAAAAAAAUUUUUUUGUCAUGGCAAAAUAUCACAACAUAAAAUUUACCACUGAAGCCAUUUUUAAAUGUAGGGUUCAGUGGUGUUAAGUGCAUUAAUAUGGUGCUGCCAUCAUCCAUCCUUUUCCAGAACUGCUUCAUCUUCCCAAACUGAAACUCCUUGCCUUCUAAACACUGAUUCCCCACUUCCAGCCCGGCACCCACCAUUCUGCUUUGUCUCUAUAAAAUAUUCCCACCACUGCGUGCGUAUGGAAAAUCACUUGACCGUACACGCAAGGGUUUAUUUCUGGGCUCUGUUCUAGUCCAUUGGUCUCUAUGUCUGUCUAUACCAGUGCCACAUUGUACGCAUUACUGCAGCUUUGUAGUGAGUGUGGAAGUGAAGGGCGAGAUCUCCAACUUUGUUCUUUUUAAGGAGCGUUUUGACUAUUCAGAGUCCCUUGAGAUUCCAUAUGAAUUUUAGGAUGCAUUUUUCUAUUUCUACAGAAAAUGUUGGCCAAUAUGAUAUUACGUUAGGGUGUGGUGAGCAGUUCAGGCAAGAUAUGAUGGUGCUUCCGAAUGUCUAGGUAGUGUUGGGUAUAGAGCAACCUGGAGGGAUUUGGGGAGGGUUUGGAUGGUCAAAGUAACAACAUUUAGUGCCAGAUUGGAGGUACGUGAGGAAGAAAAGAAGAAUCCAGAAUGACUCCUUGGUUGGAGGUUGGAGGAAAUGGUGAUGCCUAUUUCUGGGAUGGGAAGAAUGGAGAAGGGGUGUCAAGAGUUCCUUUGAGGACACGGGAAGUCCAAGAUGUCUGGGAGAACCGGCAGGUGGAAGAGAGGUCAGCUGCACCGUGGACACCCGAGCGUGGGGGGCAGGGGUGACUACAGAGCUGAGGAGAGACAUAUGCAUGUCAGUACCGGAUGGGUGCCAGGUCAUGCCACACUUGGGGCCAGGGGGAGGAGGAGGCAGUGAAGGUGGCCGUAAGCCCCUGGAGAGAUUAUCCCCGAGCGUAAAAAAAAACAUAGUGAACCCAAAUCUUCCAUGACUGUGUGCAUCCCAGGCUGAAGCAGUGAGGCGCCUGACAUUUGAGUGGGCAGCGGACCACCUGGGCGUCAUUCUCACUAACUUCGGGGGUUGGGAACUCCCAGCGCCCCCAUGCAGCCCACUUCUGGCCCACCUGCUCUUCACCAGGCCCCCUAGAUGUCCCUUCUUUACCCCUUUGCAGGUGUCCCUAACUGCCUCCCCUGUACACCUCCUCUCCUCCAGCUGGUGCUUGUCUAUGCAGUCGGAGCCCCGGCAGCCUGAAGAGGAUAGUGUGUCUUAUUCGUCUUCGUUUUUCCAUUGUCCAGUGUGGAGCCUGGCACAUGGAUCUCUGGAUAGAGAGCAGAGCUCUGCUCCCGAUACUGAGCCCAAGAAGCAAACGCUUGUGUCCCCACAGAAGAUUGUCCCUGAGCGUUCAGCUCAGCUUCAGUCAUAGCGGCCACAAACGGAAACAACCCGAAUGCCCAUGAACAGAUGGACUGGUAACCAAAAGACGGCACGUCCGCACAAUGGACCUCGCCAGAAAAAACUGCCCAUACAGCAACCCAAACGAGUCUCCAAAGCAUUAUGCUGAACCAAAGAAGCCAGACAGAGAAGAGAACAUGACUCCAUUUAUGUGAAAUUCUAGAUCAGGCCAAACUAAUUUAUAGCGACAGAGAACAGACCCUCGGUUGCUUGCUGCGGUGGGGAUGGAGCCAGCCACGGGGGCCUGUGGGGAAACACUCUGGGUCCUGAUUGUGCCGGGUGCUUACAAGGGUGUGUAUGUGUGUCAAAACUCAUUAAACUGUACGCUUCAAAUGAA